UACGUAGGGUGCAAGCGUUGUCCGGAAUUAUUGGGCGUAAAGAGCUCGUAGGCGGUUCGUCGCGUCGGCUGUGAAAACCUGGGGCUUAACCCCGGGCCUGCAGUGGGUACGGGCAGACUAGAGUGUGGUAGGGGAGACUGGAAUUCCUGGUGUAGCGGUGAAAUGCGCAGAUAUCAAGGAGGAACACCAAUUGCGAAGGCAGCUCGCUGGAACGUAACUGACGCUGGAGAACGCGAAAGCGUGGGGAGCAAACAGG
rnacentral:rRNA from 1 species